rfam:Triticum aestivum genome assembly, contig: Triticum_aestivum_CS42_TGACv1_scaffold_307165_4AS
UAUCUACUCCCUCCGUUCAGAAUUACUUGUCUCGGAAAUGGAUGUAUCUAGACGUAUUUUAAUUCUAGAUACAUCCAUUACCGAGACAAGUAAUUUCCAACGGAGGGAGUAUAUA